UGAGGAAUCUUGCGCAAUGGGGGAAACCCUGACGCAGCGACGCCGCGUGCGGGAAGAAGGCCUUCGGGUCGUAAACCGCUUUUCUGUGGGACGAGGAAGGACGGUACCACAGGAAUAAGUCCCGGCUAACUACGUGCCAGCAGCCGCGGUAAAACGUAGGGGGCGAGCGUUAUCCGGAAUCACUGGGCGUAAAGGGCGUCUAGGCGGCACAUUAAGUCUUGCGUGAAAUCUCCUGGCUCAACUAGGAGAGUGCGUGAGAAACUGGUGAGCUAGAGACGUGGAGGGGUGCACGGAAUUCCCGGUGGAGUGGUGGAAUGCGUUGAGAUCGGGGAGGAACACCAGAAGCGAAGGCGGUGCACUGGCCACGGACUGACGCUGAAGCGCGACAGCGUGGGGAGCGAACGGGAUUAGAUACCCUCGUAGUCCCUGAGCGGGCUGGCAAGGCGCAU
rnacentral:rRNA from 1 species